CACAGAGUUUCUCGACGGAUCUUCGCGGGUUUGGGUCGCUAUUCGAUCUGGUGGUAGAUUCAGCGAAACAAUGCUCUUUU